rnacentral:rRNA from 1 species
CCUAGUUAAUUCUACUAGUAGUUAUAUUACUAUCUUAAAGAUUAAGCUAUAUAUAUCUAAGUAUAAGUAUUAUAUAGCGAAACGUACGAAUAGCUUAUUAUAAAGUAUCGUUUAUUUAUAAUACCUUACUAUUUAGAUACCGUAGUAAUUCUAAAGCUAAUAUAUAUUAAAAAUCCCGAUUCGGAAGAUAUAUUUAUUAGAUUAAAAACUAAUACCUUUUAAAGCUUACUAGUAUUUAUAAAAACUUCUCGAAUUAUAUACCUUACGCUAGUAAUAGUUAUUUAAAUUUCUUCCUUAUAACUUUCGAUGCUAAAGUAGUAUGUAGCAUAGUUAUAACAGUAACGGAGGGUUAAGGCUUAACCCUAGAGAAGAAGCCUAAAGAAGCUAUUUAUCUAAAGAAAGUGCAGCCGUCGGUAAAUUAAACUAUACACCGCUCAGAGAGAAUUUUAUUUGGUUGGGUAGUCAAAAUAACAUAAAUUAAUAAUAAAGGGAGUGGUUGUGAUUAGUCAAUAAUAAACUAUAAAAUAGACUAAAUUUUAAUUAUUUUUCUUAAUUAAUUUUAUGUGUUCUAAUUAAACGAAUUGGAAAGAUGUUCCCUUUGGAACCUCGAGUGACCGUGGGCCACAACUGGUAAUUUUUAGCUCUUAGCUAAUAUUAAGUUAUUAUAGUUAAGCUUUGUUGGCCAUAGAAACCUUUUAGCUAGAACCAUCGCUGCGGCUUACUUUGCGGGACCUACAAUAUGUUGUUUGCGCUAAUAAGGCAAACUUAUCUCAUAUAAAACAAAACCGCAUACCCUUUACUAGGUAUGCCGGGGAAAUAAGACUUUUACUUUAAAAAAAUUAAAGUACUCUAGGCAAGCCUAUGCUUAAAUAUAUUAGCAUAGAAUAAUAGAAUAAGACGUAUAGUUUUAUUUUAUUAGUUUCUAAGACUACCGUAAUAAUUAAUAAGGAUAGUUAGGGGUAUUAGUAUUUAAUUAUUAAAAGUAAAAUUCUUAGAUUUAUUAAAAACUAACUACUACGAAAGUAUUUACUAAGGAUAUUUUUAUUUAUUAGGAACGAAAGUUAAGGGAUCGAAGACGAUUAGAUACUAUCGUAGUCUUAACUAUAAACUAUACCGACUAAGGAUUAGACGAUAUUAUUUUUUAACUUAUUUAGUACUUUACGAGAAAUUAAAGUACUUAGGCUUUAAGGGGAGUAUAGUUAUAAGGCUAAAACUUAAAGAAAUUAACGGAAAAGUACUACUAAGGGUAAAGCCUACGGCUUAAUUUAACUUAAUAUAGGGAAACUUACUAAGUCUAGACAUAAUAAGGAUUAAUAGAUAGACUCUUCUAAUUUUAUUAAGUAGUUUAAUAUAUAGCCGUUCUUAGUUAGUAAAGUAAUUUAUCUACUUAAUUACGAUAACGAACAAGACCUUAACCUACUAAAUAGCCUAUAUUGCUUUAAUAGUACGCUAGCUUCUUAGAAGGAUUAUCGGCUUAAGCCGAUAGAAGUUUAAGGUAAUAACAGGUCUAUAAUACCCUUAGAUGUUCUGGGCCGCACGCGCGUUACACUGACAAAGCUAGCAAGUACUCCCUUAACCGGAAGGUCUAGGUAAUCUUAUUAAACUCUAUCGUACUAAGGAUAAAGCAUUACAAUUAUUACUUUUUAACAAGGAAUCCCUAGUAAGCGUAAGUUAUUAGCUUACGUUAAUUACAUCCCUACCUUUUAUAUAUACUGCCUAUCGCUACUACCGAUUAAAUAGCUUAGUAAGGCUUUUAGACUAGCCUAAAGAGGUAGGUAACUACUACUUAAGGCUAGAAAGUUAUUUAAACUUAGUUAUUUAGAAGAAGUAAAAGUCGUAAUAAGGUUUCUAUUAGUAAACUAGUAGAAG